rnacentral:tRNA from 1 species
AGGAAGCUAGUUUAAUAAAGACUUUUGAUUUCGGCUCAAAAAAUUGUGGUUAAAGUCCACAGCUACCUU